rnacentral:rRNA from 1 species
UUGAAAGGGAAACGAUUGAAGUCAGUCGUACCAGCGGGAAAUCAACCUUUCGAGUGGGGUUUUGGAGUUUUGAAGUGUGUCAAAACCUUUGAGAUUCCNAAAUUUUCGCUCUUUUGGUGUACUUUCUCGUGGGUAGGUUAACAUCGAUUUUGAUCAUCAUAAAAAGAUUGGAGGAAUGUAGCUUCGAUCUUGUAUUGAAGUGUUAUAGCCUUUGGUAAAUGUGAUGAUUAGGAUCGAGGAUUGCAACGAAUACCCUUUUGGGCUAUCCGCCUGAUCUCUGAUACGUGGCCUUGGUAUCGAAAGCUUGCUUAUGGUAUUAAGGUAUUACGGUCAAAAGGUUAGAACGGAUUACAUUCGUUAAGGAUGUUGACGUA